GCGCCGUGGUCUUCGGGGACUCGCAGCAGCGAAGGCAUCCUUAUCUGCGGCUGGGUGACGGCUAAGCCCCCGGGCGGAAAGAGAGCUGGCCGAACUCCGCGCAAUCAAUCUUGAAAAAUGAGAAGAAAAAUGCAGGUGCUAUCAUCCAUGAGUAUAGAGAACAAACGAAACAGUAUCCGUCAUGCGGAAGAAGACCUAACAGGCGAUUCCGCUGAAGUGUCUUUCCAUAGGGCACAUAGGAAGAGUCUGUUCUAAAUCCACUGCCUUCCCACUAACAAUGCUGUCGGCAGAUAUAAAGGUAACAUCUCUAUUUGGUCUGUGUUCAUUUUGCAGUGAAAAAUUACCUUUAAACUACAACCCAGUUUUUCAAGAUAAUAUAUGUGGAUGUAUAUAGCAUUUGUGACAAUGACAUUUAUGUAUCUUGUCACUAAACCUUCCCGUCGGACAUGAGAAAAAAAUACACAGUCGGUUUAGCACUCAAUAGCUUAAUUAACGUUCAACUUAACUGACUGCUGCUAUGAAUGUUUUUACUGCGAUAACUGUCAUUUCAAGGAUGGUUAAGAAAGGUUGAAAAGGAGAAUUCCAUGCAUGCAGGUGAGUUAUUUUCCUUUACAAGAUGAUGUUUGAUGUUUCCAUUAAAUUUACAUUAUUUGGUAAGCGCUUUUAUCUGAAGCGACGUAUGAUUGAGAAAGCGGGGUCAGCCAGUCCCCGGAGCGACUGGGGUUUAAGAGCCUUGCUCAAGGGCCCAACGGUGACAUCACUCUGCCAAUCCGGGGAUAUUGAACCGGCAACCUUCCAAUGACGGGCACAGAGCCACACUCCACCCGCGAGUGUGAGUUAAAUUACACACACCUUGAAAAUGAGCAUCGCCAUGGAUACCAAAAUGUGUAUUAGCCUUUGCACUACAGCCUUACUUUUCCUUGCGUUUCCUUACCUAUUGCUCUUAAAUAGAAAUAUUCAAAAUUAAAAAUGAAAGUGAAAAUAUAUAUAUAUAUAUAGAAUAGCCACUGCCUUUAUUCAUGAUUGUCUAUUGCAGGAUGAUUUGAUCUGUUCUGCAGCAACAUGCUUAUAUCACAGUACUUGCAGUUCGACCUUUACAUUUUAAUUGUUUUGGGGUGGAUGAGUGAUUAUACCUGCUUUAGAGCCCCGGGGGGGGGGGGUAAGGGGGUUCUGUAACUGUCAUGGGCCCCACAGAUGAAUGUGGGGGUGUUUUGGAGGAUGCUAUAAUAGGACCUUUGAAAUGAGUUUGCUGCUUAUGGGUGUAGAUUGUGGGAAAGUUUGAAAUCUUCUCCCUCAGACUCCUGUCGUGAGUGGCGUAGGGAGAAGACCCCUCCUGUCUUUUUCUAGAUUCUAAUCAGUAGAUUUCCAUACAUCCUUGCUGCUACAGAGAGGUAAGGAAAUUCUACAGGAUGGUGAGAUUCUGUUUUUUGAUAGGAUAAAACAUCCUGCUACCAGCUGCAGUCCCCAAACCAGGAAAUACGAAAAGCAUAACGCCGAUGGCAUUAUAACCUGCAGAAGUAAACAUGAAAUCUAAGAUUUCAGUCUGAAGGAGAGGUGCACUGCAGCUAAUGAUGCAUGAUUUCUGUCUUGAUGCACAGUUAAUUUUGCAUUUAAGUGCAUUUUUCACUUUUUUUAAAAUAUCAGAAACAACAUAUUAAAAAAUAAAAAUACAUUUGACACGGCAUAUUCACGUUUUUCAUUGCUAACUUUGUAUGUCCUUAAUAUUUUAGAUAACUCUAAAGUGAAGGAACUCAACAUGAAUUAUAACUGAAAGAAAAUCUGUCCAUCCAUCCAUCCAUCCAUCCAUCCAUCCAUCCAUCCAUCCAUCCAUCCAUCCAUCCAUCCAUCCAUUUUCCAUACCAGCCUAUCCUAGGCAGGGCCGUGGGAGGUCCACAGUCAAUCCCAGAAGCUAGGGGCAUACGGCAGAGAAAAACUCCACAUAAAUAGAUGAUAAAUAAAUCAAAUCAUCUGCUUGAAAAGUCUGUAGCCCAUACUCACCACGUUUCCAGUCUCCGAUCUAACCCCAUCUUCUGAGCCUGACAAGACUGGGAAUCCUUCCCAGAGGCAAGCAGGCACUGGAAGAUUCUCCAGCUGUCAGUGGGAGUAAACAGAGCAGAGGCUGCAGUGAAGAGAAGGAUCUCAGGAAAAGUUGUGCUGGAUUACAGUUUGAUCCAUUUUGAGCCAGCAUCUAACACCGUACCGAGGUUCCUGCACGGCAGUCAUUCAGCUCUGUAAGGCACAGCAAAUAAAUGUGUCCGGUGGAUUUAAUAUUGUAGUUUGUUUAAUGAAAUGGCAGCUAAAUGCAUUUUUUAAAAUCUUCGCGAAACUAAAAAGGGUAUUGAAUUGUGUUAAACUGUUUCGUAAAAUGUAAUUUUUCCAGUAAACCAUUGCCAUCAUGUGACAUCCUUUCCUUUGGACUGACCGCAUCUUGUUUCCAGUGCAUUUUUGAAUUACAGAAUUAAUUUAAAAAUAAGAUUCAGGAAGCGCCGAAGUUCCUGUCUAUUGAGCACAAAAUUAGUGUCGAGGCUCAUUUUUGCCUGCAGUUUAUUUGAAGAAAAGCAGCUGGAUCUCACGGGGUUAAGUCAGAACCGGUCACAUGAUGUCCAGGGUCUUAUUUGUCUGUCUCACAUGCAGAGGAAAUAAACAUGCCAGGGGAUGCAAGCAUUCAAAUGCUGGCCUUUUUACUACAGUAUAAUGGAGUCUGUACCCAUUUCCCAGCAGGCAAUGGGGAGAUGUUUAUAUCAAAGUGUUGACAGUCAUCUGGGGUGUCCAGAGAUCAGAGCAACUAAUUCAUCUGCUGUGAUACAAGAAGAAAAAAAUAAACAAUUAAACCGAAACUAUAACAACAACAAUACCGGUACUGCUACUACUAAUGAAAAUAAUCGUAAUAAUAAAGCCUGGUCUAAUAUGUAGAACUCUUUACAAUGUGCAGUUGUUUCUGUUAUUAAGUACAAGGGCUUUUUGCUAGGAUCUGCACGGUGUUAAAUUAAUUUUAGUCAGCUGGGGUUGCAGAAAUGUCUGUGACGGCAAAACACCUGUGAUGUGUGAAUCUGUGUAAUCAUGCUCACUCAAAGAGCCCCUUAGGCACUUCUGUGGGUCUUGAAAGGACAGGUGACCCUCAGCUGCGGGACACUUUCACAGGAAACAGGCACAGUGCCAAGCCGAUGAUGGAUUGAUGCAUUCGUGAGACAACCAUCUUUGCGGCUACUUUAAGCUCAGCAAAUACCACCUCAACAAGCCACUGUGAAGCCUAAUGUAUUUUCAUAUUUGUUUUUAUGUUUCCGCACUGGUGGCCUGAGCGAUAUUUCUGAGACAUGACUGACAUGUUGCGGUGACGGUUUCACCAGCAUAUUGCAGAAAGAUCAUUACUCAGGAGUUUAAAUAUUUUUAUUGUAAAUACAUAUACAUUGAUGGGCAGUAGAUAAUACACCGCUCCGUUAACACCUAGAGAAUUAAUUCAAGACCAGAUUUUGCAUACUUGGCUGCCUUUGUUCUUUUUGGAUAAAAACCAAAGCAGAAACUUCAGUUUUGCAGAGUGCUGAGUCUAGGACUCAGUGAUAGGAAGGUUGCCGAUUAAAAUCCCAGAAUGAUGUCAUCGUUGGGAACCAGGCCAGGGCCCCUAAGCCCCAAUUGCUCCAGGGACCGCCUCACUCUGCUUUCAUAAAUGUAAGUCACUUUGGAUAGAAAUGUCUAUGUCUACUAAAUAAAUAAAAUGUAUGAUUUA